GGCUCCUUCAACCCCUGAGAUCUUAAACAAAAUCUCUGGCUUUUCUUCUGACCUGGGAAGGAGGAACUCCGGCUGCGGUGGCCGUGUGCUGUGAACAGAAAGAACCCGGUGACAAGGGGGUAGGGGGGAGGCAGCUGAUGCUGUGGUUCUGGGAACAAACUGGCCUCUUCAGCCUGGGCUCAUGUUAGAAUUUUGUUCCCCCUGGCUUGUUGGAAGGAGCAGAUGGCCCAGCAUGGGACUAAUGUGAUCCAUAAUGCAAGGAAUGAGGAAACAUGUAGCUCAGGCUAGCCUGUAACUCACUAUGUAGUAACUCCUGAUCCUUCUGCCUCCUCGUGCCAAGUGCUGGUACACCAGGCAUGUGCUGCCACCCAGCGAGGCCAGCAGUCUACCAACUGAGCUAACUGCCAGCUGCCGCCCUUCCAAGCCCAAGCCCGGAAGAUGUGAGUAGCUCGGGGUGAGAUUUCUGACCCACAACACCUCCCAUCCCAGCACUGGAGACUGAAGCAUGGAUUCUGAGGCCAGCCUGGGCUACCAAAGAAGACUGUGUUUUAAAAAGAAAAAGAAAAAAAGAAAAUUAAAAUGGACGAACCCUCAAGUGCUUAGAGAGUGGCAGGGGGCCUACUGGGCUCUGCCCACUGCUACAAUGCUUCCUCUUUGAGGUCACUAGGCUACUACCCAGUCGUUGAAGAGGAGUAUAGCUCUGACACCAUGCCAGCGGUUUAAACUGGAUACAGGAGAACUCGCAUGUAAGAUCCACUUCCAGAAGGUCCCAAGAGCACAGAGAUGGGGUGGGAAGUGAAUGGGGACCUCGAACCCUUGUCCCCAUCCAGGGGUGGGAGGGGAUUAGUGUAGGACGGGAGCAGGGCAUCUUAGUGCAUUAUGGAAAGCUCUGAAGUGGGGGAGUCCAGUGACUGCUCUGCUGUCCACAGCCAUGGGCUAGGACAGAUAAGGUGGGGACAGGCCAGUGAGAGAAACAAGGGAGACCAGCACACAAGGGCCUCAUACCUGGUUCCUCCAGGCCUGGCAGUCCUGUGGUUGUAUCUGUGUGUGGCCAAGCCAGUGAGACUUAGGGAUAACCUGAGACCCUGGGCAUGGCUGGCAUUGUUUACAUGAAUGUGAAUUCUGGGGGUCGCCCUGUUUGUGCUCUGAGCUGAGUAAGGCUCUCAAUAUAAACGAGGGAGAGAGGGCCCAGCAAGAUGGCUCAGCAGGUAAAGGUGCUUGCAGCCAGGUCUUGAUGACCCAAGUUCAAUUCCCAUUUGAUGGAAAGAGAACUGACUCCACUCAAGUGAUCUCCACAUGUGUAUGGAUGCAUUCACAACAGAUAAAUAAUAGCUAAUAAUAGCUAAUAAAGUCUUGUUUUCUUUUUUCUUUCUUUCUUUCUUUCUUUCUUUCUUUCUUUCUUUCUUUCUUUCUUUCUUUCUAUCUCUCUCCCCUCUCUCUCUGUCUCUCUCUCUCUCUUUUUGGUUUUUCGAGACAGGGUUUCUCUGUGUAGCCCUGGCUGUCCUGGAACUCAUUCUGUAGACCAGGCUGGCCUUGAACUCAGAAAUCCGACUGCCUCUGACCCCCAAAUGCUGUGAUUAAAGGCGUGUGCCACCACUGCCCAGCUCUUUUUCUCAUUAUUAACUACCCACCAUUAAAAGUGCUGAAGAUUGAGUUCAUGGACCAACUACAUGUCAGAAAAUGUUUCUACAAGCAAUCCACACUCCCAUGAUGAAUACAAGGUUGCCGGAGUCCUGUAGCUUGAUAUGGAAAUUAGGGGUCUGGUUUUGCAUAUGUAGCAUCAAGGACUAGAAAGACUGGGAUCUGAACACAGGGCUGACUCUAGAGACCUCGUCUGAGAGUCAGGUCUUUGCGUAUGUAUGGGGGUGCAUAUGCACCCCUGCCUACUAAGAGGUCAUAGGACCACUUGUGUGUGAGUCAUGUUUCCUUCCACCACACGGGUCGUAGAGAUCCAGUUCAGGUUGUCAGGCUGGGGAGCAAACCCCGAGCUUGCUGGUGCAGGCAGGCCGGUUGGCCUGUGAAUCCCAAGGUCUGGUCUCUAUCUCCCUAGGUUUUUACAGAUUGGCCCAGCUUUGCCAGGCAGGUCACACGGGUGCCAGGGAUCCGAACUCAGGUCUUCACACUUGUCUGCCAGCACUACCCACCCCUGUCACCUGUGCCUAUGUCCAAAGGUGGAGUUGAGUCUAUGAGUCUCCAGAUCCGUGGCCCUGUCAGGAGACUACACACACUCACCUCUCCCUCUUGGCUCGGAGUCUCUGCUCUUCAUAUCUGAGAGAGAGAGAGGCAGGUUCAGUGAGUGGGAAGGGUGGGACCCUGCCCCAAGCUGUCAGGGCCACAGAGGCCAGGCAAAGGGGACUGGGGAUACAGAUGGGGACUGAACUUCAGAGUGGGGUUGGCUGAACUGAGUAUUGAGAUGAGGUUUCAGUGGUCAGUUUUCUGUAAUAUGUAACUUUUAACUUGAUUUAUUUAAGGUUUAUUUAACUAUAUUAAAUUGAGUGUGCUUAGAGUGCAGUUCCCACAGUGGCCAGAAGGGGCAUCAGGUGCCCAGGAGCUGGAGUUCCAGGUGUUGUGAGCCACUGUGUGGGUGCUGGGAACCGAACCCCUGUCUUCUGAAGGAGGAGCGGGUGUGAUAACCACUGAGCUGUCAUUCCCUGACAUAGUCACUCCCAAACUCAGGGACGCUAAGGCCGGAGGGGCACUUACUGCAGGACACAGUCUGGCAGCUGCACGUGUUCCAUGGGAAUCAGUCGCUCCAGCUCUUCCAGGCUGUGCACGUACUGAAUUUUACUGAUGAACUUGACACUGAGGGAGACAACAGGGUAGACAAGGGGUCAUCAGACAGAGCCAGACUCUGCCCCACCUAGCCUGCCAAGUUGCCCAUGCUGGCCUCGAACCCACUAUCCUCUUGUCUCAGCUUUCUCCCCAGACUUUUCUCAUGGAUUGUCCCAGUGGCCUUUGUGAACUAUGAUGAACAACAAACAUGUCAGACGUGGUUUUUUAGAAUUUUUUUUUACAUUUAUUCAUGGUGUGUGCAUAAAUAAAAGUCAAGAGAAGAGC
ensembl:antisense Atcayos ataxia, cerebellar, Cayman type, opposite strand